rnacentral:lncRNA from 1 species
AGUAGCCCUCAACUAGAUAAUAGUUGUGUUUUUUUGUUUUGUUUUGUUUUGUUUGUUUUUUUUUUUUGAGAUGGAGUUAUGCUCUUGUCGCCCAGGCUGGAGUACAAUGGCACGAUCUUGGCUCACUGUAACCUCUGCCUCCCGGGUUCAAGGAUUAUCCUGCCUCAGCCUCCCAACUAGCUGGGAUUCAAGCAUGUGCCACCAUGCCUGGCUAAUAUUUUUUUUUUUUUUUUUUUUUGGUCUGAGACAGAGCCCAGGCUGGAGUGCAGUGGCACGAUCCCGGCUCGCUGCAAGCUCUGCCUCCUGGGUUCACACCAUUCUCCUGCCUCAGCCUCCCGAGUAGCUGGGACUACAGGCCCCUGCCACCAUGCCUGGCUAAUUUUUUUGUAUUUUUAGUAGAGACGGGGUUUUACCAUGUUAGCCAGGAUGGUCUCGAUCUCCUGACCUCGUGAUCCGCUGGCCUUGGCCUCCCAAAGUGCUGGGAUUACAGGCGUGAGCCACCGCACCUGGCCAAUUUUUUGUGUUUUUAGUAGAGAUGGGGUUUCACCGCGUGGGCCAGGCUGGUCUCGAACUCCUGACCUCAAGUGAUCUGCCCGCCUCGGCCUCCCGAAGUGCUUUUCAAGAGAGAAAUUGUCCCUCCUCUGUAAAAAACCAACUGCAAGUUUGCAUAUCUAAUUGGUCUAGAAAAACACUGGACAUAUAGGGAGGGAAACCAGUAUCAUUUGUAAUUUCAAGGACUAUUCUGGAACUCCAAACUCCAUGGAGAUUAAUCCUAAACACUAGGGACAAAUGCCCAUUUUCUCUGGUUGGGAAAUUUAAGAAACCAAGGUGGAACUGGGCCAUAUGCAGAAGCAUCUGACUUCCUGGAAUAUAAUCAACAAAUGUGAUUCUGAGCCAAGUUGGGAUCAAUGCAUCAAUGUCAAGCAGGCAUCUGCGGAGCCCUGACAACAUGGAGCUCGACGUGGGGGUCAGAGACAUUCCUGAGGGUACUGUGUCUAAUUCUCCUCAAGGUAUCUUACCGGACAUUUCUUUUAUGCACGGUGACUCUUUGUCUAUCAGAAGCUGGAUUUUGUUGGUGGGACACAAGACAGAGAACACAUUCUUGUUCUCCCGAAGGGAGAUACUUUGCCCAUGCUUGUGACUCUCUUUCCGCAGACUUGGAAUCCAGAGAAGCCCACCCAGGGGCUGGAAUGGAGGAUGAGGAUCAUAACAAGGUAAUUGAUUGAGGAAGAACAACUCUAGUAUGGAGCUUUAUAUCCCAAAUUGCAGCAGUUGUAAGUCUUACUCCCUGCUUGGGAGAACAUGGUGGCUGAGAAGACAGGUGUUAGGUCCCGGCUUCCUGCAUUCAGAUCCCUACUCCAGGCCUUACUUUAAGUUGCUUAAAUUCACUGGGCCUCAGUUUCCUCAUCUGGGCCCCUGGAAGGAUAUUAGUAACACCUAUCUUGCAGGGUCAUUAUGGGGCACUGAUUGAGUCAACACCUGGAAUCACAGGCAUUGUAGGAACAUAAUAAGUCCUCACUAAAUGAGAGCUACUACCAUGACCUUUUAAAUUUGUCUUUCUCUAUGUGCCAUUCACCAUCCUCCAUUUCAUCCAUCCAGCAAAAAUACAAAUACCAUAUUCUGUGACAGGUGCUGGUCAAGUCACUAGGGAUAGGCACAAAGUUAGCAGAAUAUAAAUCUCGUCAGAGGGUUGAUCCCCUCCCCAGGUUUCUCUUAUUUCUUGAUCCGGUUUCUCUUAUUUCUUAAUUUCUUAAUUCUCUUGUUUCUUAAAGAAUUAAACAUUAAUUCUUAAUGUUAAGAGCAGAACAUACAAUAAGUUUGAACUCAAUUUUUGCUGUUCCUUGGUCCUGUUCCUCACCCAUUCUCUCCAUUUGCUUUUUCUGCUUCCUUGCUCUUUCUUUCCGAAUUCUGUAGGAAGAUAGGCCCCAGGUGGCUCCGCCAAGGAAGGACCCUGGAAUCCCCCCAGGCUCUUCUAGGGCUCUUCUUGGUGAGGGAGCCCUGGGAGGGGCAGAUCCCCAGGGAAGCCUACCACUCCUCCCACUCAGCAAUCCCUCUUGGGCCAGGCUCCCCUUCCCAGGCCCUCAGCUCUCCCACAAGCUCUCUGGGGAAGCUGGAAGAGGGCCACUAGGCCCUGUAAUAACCACACUUCUUCAUGGUAAACAAGAACCAGAUUCCUGGGGAGUGACGCAGGCCGGAGCUCUGUGGCUGAGGCAGCUGUGUGAUUACACCAAGACAUGAAGAAACACCUCUUGCUCGGCCUUGGCCUGCUUGGGGAAGGCCCACGGGAGAGGCUGCCCACGUGUCCCUCUUUGCUACCCUUCUAGUCAUUCUUGGCCUGAAUUACAGGGGCCUUGGCACCAAUUGGCUCUGCAGAUACGAGUGGGCAACCAUCAGCCCCCAUCUCCCAACCAGACUAGGUUCCUCCAUCACCUCUUCUUUUCCAGGAUUUUCCCCACCCUCUUCCCUACUCAUGUGUCUGACUUCCACCCUUGGCUGUCAUCCUGCACUCCCUGUGCCUUCCUUCUUGAGGGAGAAUCAUGCAUGUCUCUCAUCAAUGCCAGGUGAAACCUUAGGCUCCUGUGCAGAGGCCUUGAUCCCGGGCACCCAGGAAUGAAGCCUGCCCUGAAGGGGCACUGGCCCACAGGCUGUAAAAGCUGGUCCAGGGCCUUCAUCUUCACAAUAUGACUUCUGAGUGUAGGAUCAGGUCUCCUGGAUGUUUAGGCCAAGCACAGUUCUUGCUAGUUCCUAUAUGGAAGGUUGAACUGUCUUAAAUACUUCUAGAAUACACAGAAGCUGGGGUGGAGAACUGGGUGGCUGAGGGGUUAGGUGGCCAGGGAGAAAUUUUACAAGAUGCUGUUUAGGGCUUUUGCAUUUUGUACCAUGUGAAUGUAUUAAAAAAAAAUUUUUUUUUUUUUUUAAAGAAUUCUGUGGUCUUGUAAACCUCUUGUAUGUCAGAUAUAGAGAAUUUCUGGCCCCUGUCCUCAUGGAGGAAGGGAUAGUGGGAUAGCCUCAUGGAAAAGGCCUCAUUUGGGCCAGACUUCAGGCUUAGAAGGGGCUGACAAAGGCAGGUGGCUGCUUGGGUUUGAGAUUUUCUAAGUGUCUGAAUGACACAGAAUCUUGCACGAUGAGGGUUGUGUUGCUGAGUGUGAUGGUCCUGGAGGGAGGAGGAUGGGCCUGAGCUUCUAUCCAGGCCUAGAAGGACAUUUGACCUUUUGUGUCUAUGAAUUUGACUACUUAGGUACCUCAGAUAAGUGGAAUCAUAUAAUAUUUGUCUUUUUGUGUCUGGCUUAUUUUAUUGGCACAAUAUUUCCAUGGUUAGUCCAUGUUAUGGCAUGUAUCAGAAUUUCCUUUUUUUUUUUUUGAGAUGGAGUUUUUUAUAUAUAUAUAUCUGUUUCAUUCUUUUUGGUAUAUCCCCAGAAGUGGAAUUGCUAAAUCAUAUGGUAAUUCUAUGUUUAAUUUUUUGAGGACCUGCCAUACUAUUUCCACGAUGGCUGCACCAUUUUGCAUUCUCACCGGCAGUGCACGAGAGUUCCAAUUUCUCCACAUUUUAGCUAACACUUAUUUUCUGGGUUUGUUUUUAUUUUAGUAAUAGCCAUUCCAAUGGGGAUAGCCUUAAGAAGGUUUAAGCAUGGUGCCCUGGGGCUCAGAAACGGGAGAGAUAUAUGCAGGAAGCUCUCACUGAGAAGGUGACAUUUGACCUGGACUUCUAAGGAUGGGCAAGAAUUCUCCAGGUGGAGGAGGAAAACCACAUAGGAGAAAGACUUAACGAAAAGAGGAACGAAGAGAGACAAGAAACUGCAUGGCCUGUUUUGAGGCAGCAGGUGGUUAGCACCAGCAAGAAAUACGGUUUGUAGGGGAGGGUGUCAAAAUGUAAGGUAAGAGGCAGAUUUAAGGGAUAGAAAUUCUUCUCAGGCUUUGGACUUUGGUCAAUAAGGAGCUAUUGGCGAUGUGUUGUGCAAACUUCAACACACUCUAUAAAUAUAAGAAUGUAGAAUAAAAAGGAGAGAAACGUUUUUAAAGAGAUGAAGUGUGACAGGGCACGGUGUCUCAUGCCUGUAAUCCCAGCACUUUGGGAGGCCGAGGCAGGCAGAUCAUUUGAGGUCAGGAAUUCGAGACCAGCCUGGCCAACAUGGUGAAACCCUGUCUCUACUAAAAAUAUGAAAAUUAGCCUGAUGUGGUGGCACACGCCUGUAGUCCCAGUUACUUGGGAGGCUGAGGCACAAGAUAGAGAAUCACUUGAACCUAGGAGGCGGAAGUUGCAGUGAGCUGAGAUCAUGCCACUGCACUCCAGCCUGGGCAACAGAGCAAGACUCAGUCUCAAAAAAGGAACAAAAGUACCAAGAUCAAUGCACAAUGCCUAUUGUAUAAUCAAUGCACAAUGCCUAUUGUGUAUUACACAAUAUGGAAGUAAUGUCUGGCAUCCAUCUAGGAGAAUCCUGGGUACCCAUGGAACUAGCACUGCCCCAUUCCCUCCCUGUCAGCUUCCAAAUACAAGGCUAACCAAAUAGCACAGAGGGCCUGCCCCUGUUGACCUCUCUGGGUCAGGAGGGGCUCCUGUUAUCCAUUAGGUGGGAGAAUCACGAGGCCAUCACAAUUCCCUGCAGUCUCAACCUUUUAGGCUCAAGCAAUCCUCCCACUUAGUCACCUGAGUAGCUGGGACUAUAGGCCCCUGCCACCAUCCUCAGCUUUUUUUUUUUUUUUUUUUAGAAAAAAGUCUUCUAUCCUGGCUAACAUGGUGAAACCCCGUCUCUACUAAAAAUACAAAAAAAAAAAAAACUAGCCGGUGGUGGCGAGCCUGUAGUCUCAGCUACUUGGGAGGCUGAGGCGGGAGAAUGGCGUGAACCCGGAGCUUGCAGUGAGCGAGAUCACGCCACUACACUCCAGCCUGGGAGACAUGAGACUCCGUCUCAAAAAAAAAAAAAAAAGAAAAAAAGUCUUGCUCUUUUGCCCAGGCUGGUCUUGAACUCCUGGUCUCAAGUGAUCCUCCUGCCUUGGCUUCCCAAAGUGCCAGGAUAAUAGGCAUGAGCCACUGCACCCAGCCUCUUGUGGUACAAUAAAUGUGCACCAGAAGUUCUGAGAGCCUAGUUUUUCUUUUACUUUUCUUUUUCUUUUUUUGAGACGGAGUCUCGCUCUGUCACCAGGGCUGAAGUGCAAUGGUGUGAUCUCCACUCACUGCAACCUCUGCCUCCUGGGUUCAAGUGUUUUCUUCUGCCUCAGCCUCCCUAGUAGCUGAGACUAUAGGCGCACACCACCACGCCUGGCUAAUUUUUGUAUGUUUUGUAGAGACAGGUUUUUGCCAUGUUGGCCAGGCUGGCCUCAAACUCCUGACCUCAAGUGAUCCACCUGCCUCAGCCUCCCAAAGUGCUGGGAUUACAGGUGUGAGCCACCGUACCUGGGUUGAGAGCCUAGUUUUUAAAGUCACACACCUACCUGUCUAUAUGAUGGUGUAGAGGCGGUCUUUGGAGGAAAGGUACAGAUCUAUCUGUACAUGUCCCUUUUGUCUCUACAAUGUUGUAGUUUUCACCGCUUCAUAAGAAAUGUGGGAAGAAAAAUUAGGUCCUACUUUGAUCUGUCAUGGAAUGAGCAAAAACUAUAAAAAAAAUACACUAUAUAU